CGCAUUUCCUCCCGCCCCUCCCCGCGCUCCCACCGCGCAGGCGCCGAGCGAGGGGAAGAUGGCGGCGCCCGUGGACUUGGAGCUGAAGAAGGCCUUCACGGAGCUGCAGGCCAAGGUGAUCGACACGCAGCAGAAGGUGAAGCUGGCCGACAUCCAGAUCGAGCAGCUGAGCAAGACCAAAAAGCACGCGCACCUCACCGACACCGAGAUCAUGACGCUGGUGGACGAGACCCGCAUGUACGAGGGCGUGGGCAGGAUGUUUAUUCUUCAGUCUAAAGGAGUCAUUCAUAAUCAGCUUUUAGAGAAGCAGAGAAUAGCAGAAGAGAAAAUUAAGGAAUUAGAGAUGUCUGGCAGUUUCGUGUGAAGGAUAUUCCUUGGACUUGGGAUUCCCUAAGGAAGAGGAUUAGAUUGACAGUUGCUGAAAAAAUCAGGAGAGGGCUGUGACACUGCUGACCUGGUUGUCCCUGCUGCUCACCACACAGCAAAGCAGUGAGGACAGCCUUUGUAAAGAGCUGUGAAAAUAAAGCUUUGCUGGAAUAUGCACUCCAUGUCCUCUGUGAGUGGAACUGUGUGAGCAUGGCUCUGAAAACCCAAAGGGGUGUAAGAUACGUACAAACAAACAAGGGGGCAGACAUAGUCUGUCAGUCAGCACACAAAGUAGUUUUAUCCUUCUUUUAAAGGAGAUACGAAUGUGUAUAUGCACGUGUUUAGCAAACUUAACUUCACACUUUGUUUAUAAUCCUUUGGAAUCCAAAGAGACUGUCUAGGCUUGCUUACACAAUGCAUGUUUGCUUACAGGCUGUGUCAGUGAAGCUUACCAAAACCUUCUUGGCUCUUACAGAGGCUGAGUGUAUGAGUCCAUGCCAUCACAUGGGAAGCUUCCUGCCUAAGCGUAGCUAUUGGAUUUUUCCAGUCCUGAUAAUAUCAAAUUCUUGUUGUGUUUCACAGUGCAAAGGGUAUGUGUAAAUCUAUUUUGAAAGCAUUCUAAAGGGAUGAGCACUGACUCUUUUUAGCUCAGCAAUGUUUGUGCAGUAUUAAGAGAAAAACCAAGUAAUGUUUUUCUUCCCUUGUUUUUAAGGAAACAUGAUAUGUGAGGGGUGGAACAAUGCUUUGUUUCAGGAAAUGUUAUCCGUUUCCAUUGUAGGGCUAGAUGGAUUCUGUUUUUAAAUGUGGCAUUUUAAAAAGAACAAACUCUGAUAUUACAAAGACAUGGAAAAUUGAUUCUUCGUUAGGGGUGGAGAAAGUGAUUAUUGCUGUGUGUUUUCUCUGAUAAUAUCUGAUAAUCCCUCUCUCUCCUGCUAUAUUCAGCAUGUUUAGUCGUCAGGCGUUGUCAGACUAAAUUUCUAAAAAUAACAAAUAAGAGGGAGGCUGUGCUGGGCCAUGUUGUUGAUUGUGCUGCUGAAUUUAGCCCCUUCUUGCAAAGGACAAAAGUAACCUGCAGCUUUCCUGGGGAAUUGGAUUUGGAUUUAAAGCUCUGCCCACGGCACUGCUGCACACCUACAUCCCAUGCACUUCUUUAUGCACUUGUAUGGAGUCUGAACGUUUAAUGCUGUAGGGCAAAAGGGUUGGUUGGUUUCUUCUUUUUCUGUCUGAAGUUGAAAAUAACAUGAGGGAAGGCAUACCCAAGUGCUAGGGACCCCAAAAAGAAUUUUUGAGUCUAAGUGCAGUGUCCAGCCAUCCCAUCCCAUGCAGAAAGCUUCUUAACUCUUGUUCAUGAUUGGAAAAAAAACUGCCUCUUGUUUAAAAACUGGUCAGGUUUGGUAGGGCUGCAUUGUGCUGAAGCUAAGAUGCCACUAAAUUGUGAUACUUUGAGGUGUCUGGAUGUCAGAUGUAGCAGUGGGUCUUCCCUGGUUUGCCUGCACACAAACCUGCUUGCACUCCACCUGUCUGUUCUGUGAUACUUUCUGGGGGCUUUGGAAUGGCCACACUGCAGCUCUGUGGUGCAGUGGCUGCGCCCCUGUUCUUGCUGAGCAAGCAGGGUGUCUGCUGGCUGCCAUAGCGCAGUUUUUCUUUCCUGGGGCAGCUAAGGCUGAAGUGAGUGAGGUGUGUCUGGGGAGCAGUGUCAGAGUGUGAGAGCUGGUGCUUUGUACUCUCAGUGUAGGCAUGGCCUGCUCUGUGGCAGUUCUCUGGACAAGCCUUUGUUUUUUUAUGCUGAAACUGUCCAUGUGGAGGCCAAUUCAGAGGGUAGCUUUAAUGAUGUGCAAACAAGUCUCUUGAGAUGUGUGGUCCUGCAGACCACUGGCGACCACCAGAAGGUAGCAGUUGUUUGGCCACGUUCUUCCUGAGAUUUGCAGCACAGGAGCUCUCAUCCCAUAGUUGGAAUGGAUAGGCCAGCGCCCAGGAAUGUGUGGUGCGCUUCUUAAAUAAACAGGGGAAAAUAAAGAAUGCUUGUAUUUGGCUUGUAGGGGGAAGCUUCAAGAACAGCCCUCUAUGAUUUAGCCUAGAGCAGAUUUUACUUCGGAAGAGUGUGUUUUUCUCUAUUGCAUUGCUGACUCAAUCCACAUGUUCAGGACAUGAUUUAAAUGUGUUGUCACAGCAGCCCCUGGCUUCUAAGGACAGCCCUAAGUAUGCAUAUAGAAGAUGUCAGACUCUGGCUUGGUCUCAGUCCUUUUGGCAUUAUAGUCUCAACUCCUCCAAGGAAGGCUGUCAUGCUUCUUGUUGCUCAUCCGGCAGUCUGAAUUUAUGCUUGGGAGCUUCAUUAGCUCUCCCUGGUCAUGAGGAGGCCUUGGGUCCAGGAUGAAAGCUUCCAGAGGUAGCUUGCUAUCAGCAUGGGGGCAUCCACAGCUGCUUCCAUAGGAGAGCAGAGCAUGGGCAGAGCUGUGGGCAUGCAUCUGUUCUCCACCAGCAGGCUUGUUGUGAAGAAGGCAGUAUGAAGCUCAUUUGGUUUUUUUCCUGUAGGUCUGGCUGUCUUAUAGCGGAGGUUAAUUUUUCUUCUUUUUCUUGAAAAGGGAAAUACCCUGAACAAUGGACAAAACAAACCUUAAAUGUAAUGUAAUGAUGAAAAGGUUGAGAGUGUUGGAGCUAAUGCUCUUGGGACAGAACCUUCUUAAUGGAGAAGUCCUCUGAUGCUGGACUGGUGCCAUACAAAUUUAAGGUAAAUAUUGGGUAUGUGUAAUGCUGCUCUAGUUCUUUCUGUCCCUUGGACUGACUCUGCUGGCAGGAGCCUGAGCAGCAUGCUUACCCCUUGCUUCCAAGGCUCUGGAUGGAUCUGAUGACUUCUUUCUUUAAAGCCUCACAGUCUGUCUUAAAGGUUGCUUGUGAAAAGUGAAGAAGGCAGUAAGAGGGUUGCUUUCUUACAGCCUACAUCACAUGUAUUUUUUCUGUUUUCCUUCUAUUGAGAUACCAUAAUUUCACUCUCAGGUAAAUUAAAGUUGGUUGUGUGCAGUUCAUGUCCUGUAGCUUUACAAGGGAACAAAUACUCUUCAGUAAUUGCAAGGAAUAAGUUAUAUUUUUUUAUAGUGGUCCACAUCCCUAUGCUAGAUUUGUUAGAUAAAAAUCAAAUAGAUAUGUGCUCUGCUCUGAAACUUGCUUAACAAGUUGGUCAUAUGUUAAGUAGUGCAGAAGUCACCAGUUGCAAAAUGCCAAGUUGUAACCUCACAGAUGAGGAGAAGGAAAAUAAUCACAUUUAAGGGGAAUUCCCAGCUCUCAGAAAGGAUCUCCCACCAGUUCAGAUGCAGAAUGGCUUGUGAAAACUCCGCAUCCCAUUUCUGUGAAGCAUGAUUGUAGGUGAUGCUCAUUUGGGUAGAAUGACCUGAAUUUAUAGUGUCAUGUGUAUGAUGCGCACGGGGCUGGAGUUUUCAUUUACAGCAGUCAUUCACAGCACAAAGUUUUCAACCUUUCCAAAUUUUGCAAGGAACGAGUUAAUUAGUAAUCGUGUUACCCUUCAUUGUGCGACAUUACUGCAAAGUAAGCACACAAACUAGAUGAAAGGGCAAAGGCCUCGCGAAGGGGGAACUGGGAUUUGACAGCUUUUUUUUUUCUCCCUGCUAUUCCUGCCUUUAUUUUUUGUUGAAUAAUUGUAGAUUAUAAAGGCAGGAUAAUAAUUAAUAUUUAUGUUGAUUAAGUUGAUUCAGAACUUUGUUAUGGAGACACUUUCAAAAUAAGUUUUAUCCCAGAGCUUACUUUGGGAUUUUUGGUUUUGAUCUGACACACAAAUCUAAUGGAAAAAGCUUUUCAAAGCAAACUGUGCCAGUGCUUUGGCAUUCCUUUGUCAGUCAGGGGAAAGUGAAGAACAUUAUGCGCUAAUAAAAAAAACACUUCUGCUGUCUAAAUGGUUUUGUCCAUCUGGGGGCAUGCAUUUUGUCAUCAGGGUCUGAAAAUGUUGCUUAUUUCCUCUGCUUAGCAUUGAGCUAAGUUCUUACAAAUACGUUGAAAUCAUUUGAACACCAAACUGAUAGAUAAGUCUUUCUUUGUCAUUUUAAACCAGGGUCUGAUUCAUUGUCAAAGCUGUUCUUUGUACUUAGGGCUGUGGAAAUACCCAAAGCAACGAGCAGAGCUGGAUGUGGGUCCCUCUCCAAAUUCCUCCUUGCAUGAGUAAUGGUUAGUCACAAAACCAGCACCGCUGUGCCUGCCUGAGUCACCCGGCCCUAAGCGGUCGCUCCUUGCUGCCCUUUGUGCCUGGUGAUUCCAGAGCUCUGGGCAGGGGGAUUACACGUACCUGCCGCCCCCAUCUCCUCUGUCUCGCCCGGGGAGAACAGGAAGCGAUUAUUUGGAAAGCGUGCUGCUGCGUGUGGGAGGCCUGACCCAGCCCUGAGUCAGCUUUGUGGAGCCACACCUUGCUCACCAGGUAUGCGGGAGGCUUGUCACGACUUCCUGCUGGCCCUGUGCUGCAUCAGGUUGCUGCACUGCUCUGCCCAAAAGCAUGCUCCUGGGAAGACGUGGCAGUGUUCUCCCUUCUGCCCAUGAGCCCACAGGCAUUGGCUGGGGGAGUGAUAGCUAGUUAGGCAUUCAUUUCUUCUGGUUGCUGACUUUCUGAGUCUUCUACCUUUACAGAAGUAGUAGUUCUUCAAAAAUAGCCUCUUCUGGCCCAAACUGUAAGAGCUAGAUGGAGAUGUGUUUUGGUUUUUACAACAGCCGUGGUGCUAGCAGGUACUCUCAUCUGCCAUGCUGGCUCUGCAGGAAUGUAGAAACUGAAGCACUGAGUGAAGGAACUUACUAUGUUUUGCAAGGGGCACAUUUCCUCCCAGGCAGAAUGUGGGGAUUUCAGCUCUGGAUGAGUUUCCUCCCAAGUUCUCUGUAUAUGACAUGAUUGUUGUCAUGAGGCUGCCAGGAGUGUGGUAUCGGGCUUGGAGCAACGUGUCUGAGAGCUGUCCUUUAGAAGGGUGAUUUUUCCAAGGAGUGUCCCAACAGGAGUCUGCACUGCAAGUAUAUUUCUGCUGCCACCUACUGAAACGUUCUCAUCAGCUUUCCCUGGUAGCCACCACUGGAGUAGGGUGCACAAGUUCACUGGAACAGUCCAUCAUUUCCCAGUCACGGAAAGCACCUAUCUCCACCUCUAAUUAACGUUCUGCCAUGUGGCUGACAUGACAGUUAUGUGUGGCGUGCCUGGGCUCUGUUGCAGAAGGCUCCUUGGCACAUUCGUUCCCCUGCCUGUUACCUUGCCACUUCUUUUGGAGAGCUACCUCCCUUGCUACCACACUGGGAAAUGGUGAAUGCUUUCCCAGAGCACAUGCACCUCAAAGCACUGCAGAGAUGAUGUUGGAAGCCCUGCUGGCAGUGCAGUAGGUAGGACCAGCACAGGAUAGGGGCAGGUUUGCACCAGGAUUUCUUAAGCUGAGCAGUGGGUCCAGGUGAACCUCACAAAGCUCAACAAAACUGAGUGCACAAUCUGCACCUUGGUGCCAGCGACCUUUGCUAUCAGUACAAGUUGGGGGACAAAAGGAUAGAGCACAGCCCUGCUAAGAAGGACUUUGGGGUACUGCUGGAUGGCAGCUGGACAUGAGCCACCACUGUGCCCUUGCAACCCAGAGAGCAAACCAUACCCUGGGUGCACCCAAAGCAGCAGCCAGCAGGAUGAGGGAGAGGAUCUGCUCCUCUGUUCUGUGCUGUGAGACCUCACCUGGAGUGCUGCAUCCGGACAGGGAGUGCUCAGCACAGGAGAGACAUGGAGCUGUUGGAGCACAUCCAGAGGAUGGCCCAAAAAUGCUCCCAGGGAUGAAACACCUCCCUGUGAGGACAGGCUGAGAGAACUGGGGUUGUACAGAUGGAGAAGGGAAGGUGAAAGUGGCCUUUCAGUAUCUGAAGGGGCUGUAAGAAGGAAGGGGACAGACUCCUUAGCAGGGGCUGCUAUGAGAAGGUGAGAGAAAUGGUUUCAAACUAAAAGAGGGGAGACUUAGAUUAGAUAUAAGGAAGCAGUUUUUUAUACUGAGGGCAGUGAGGCACUGGCAUGGGGUGCACAGAGAGGUGGCGGUGCUCCGUCCCUGCAGGCAGCCAAGCUCAGACCGGAUGGGCUGUGAGCACUGAUGGAGCUGUGGGUGUCCCUGUGCACUGCAGGGGCUUGGACUGCAUGGCCUUUGGGGGUCCCUUUCAACACUAACAGUUCUAUCAUUCUAGAUCUCCUUUGUAACUGAGGCAGACUGUGCUGCCUCUCUCUAGUUCAGAUGGCUUGAAAGCGAUUGAGUGUCCCUAUUGCCUUGUGGAAAGAGUAAGUGAGGGAAAACCCAAGGACAUGAAUCAUUGCUUCUCCUCCUUGGGGGGUGGCAUCAUCACGCUGCUGUCAGUGGCUGUCGUCAGGAACCAGCUGUGGUCCUUUCCUAUUGCAGUUCACUCGUAAGCAAACUACAGGCAGCUUCCUGAGAGCAAUAACCCUGCUGCUUGGAAAGUCUGAAGUGCAUCUAAAUAUUUGGUGGUUGCUGUGUCAUUCCCGGUGUCAGUAUGCCGCACCAUGCUGCAGGUUGAGCCUGGGGGGGCAUAGGGCUGCCCCCUGUGCUGCCCAUGGGCUGUUUGUGUCUCCUGCUGCAGGAUGGCUGAGUGCUGUUCAGGAGAUCCUCCUUACCAUGGAGGAAUUUCAAGUGGAAAUCUCAUUGGGCACAGUGCAUCUCUUGGGCACAGUGAGACCCUGGGCAGGAGAGCUGUGUGCUGUGUCCUGACCCCACGAUGGCCCAUGUUCCUCUGGAGAAGAACUCUCUGCAGCUGAGGGUGUGUUCCCUGCUCUAUCAUGGGAUCUGCUUAUCACUUUCCCAAAGAGUGUGCACACAGAGACUGCAAGGAAUGCCAAAAAUUACCUGAUUUAACUUUAGGGAUAGUGAAACUAAGCUAGCACGUUUAUUGAGACUGUCACAAGAUGAGUUAUAUCAGGGCACCUAUUUGAGGCACUGCAUCAUGCCUGAAGACUCCAGGGCAUUCUUCCACAGCAGUCAUCUUCUGUGUGUGGGAGGGGUGUGCCAGGGAGGGCUCUGGUAGGGACCUGAGCAUGUAUCAUCCUCACACACUGGGAGUUGUAGGAAAGGAGCAUAAAAAAAAAAAAAAA